rnacentral:rRNA from 1 species
UAGGGAAUCUUCCGCAAUGGACGAAAGUCUGACGGAGCAACGCCGCGUGAGCGAAGAAGGUCUUCGGAUUGUAAAGCUCUGUUGUUAGGGAAGAACAAGUGCUGUUCGAAGAGGGCGGCACCGUGACGGUACCUAACGAGAAAGCCACGGCUAACUACGUGCCAGCAGCCGCGGUAAUACGUAGGUGGCAAGCGUUGUCCGGAAUUAUUGGGCGUAAAGCGCGCGCAGGCGGUCCUUUAAGUCUGAUGUGAAAGCCCACGGCUCAACCGUGGAGGGUCAUUGGAAACUGGGGGACUUGAGUGCAGAAGAGGGGAGCGGAAUUCCACGUGUAGCGGUGAAAUGCGUAGAGAUGUGGAGGAACACCAGUGGCGAAGGCGGCUCUCUGGUCUGUAACUGACGCUGAGGCGCGAAAGCGUGGGGAGCAAACAGGAUUAGAUACCCUGGUAGUCCACGCCGUAAACGAUGAGUGCUAAGUGUUAGAGGGGUUAAUCCCUUUAGUGCUGUAGCUAACGCAUAAGCACUCCGCC